UAAAACAAAUAAAUAACCAAUAAAGGAGAAUAUUUAUGCGCGAACAGCGGGAAACUGUAUAAAACAUCAAAUCUGAUUUGAAACUUGUGACGUAUAAACGCGCACAUCAACCCGAUUACUUUAUUUAUCAUUCAUGUAUACACCUUGUUCAGAUUCAUCAUUUGUAUUUAUUUCAUUCUGAUUGUGUCCAUGUAAACGUAGCUAAUGCUGUUAAAAUUCAGGCAUCAUUUUGGUCACUACAAUCAUGAUAUGAACAUUUCAUACUGUUUCGUUUCUAUUCUGCGUCAUUCCUCUAAACAGCCAAGAGCAAAGAAUUCCAGCCCCAUUUCCUCUUGUCUUCUCACUACCAAAAUUCCCAAAGGAUGUUCAGUUAAAAUUGGAUAACAAAGAACCAUGUCAUAAGAUCAGCACUUACCGGCAUAAAAUUGUACGAGUGCUGCACGAGACUAUGGCUCAGCACACACUAUAUCCUUCAAACAGUGACUAUGUUUGCGCUGUCAAGGCUCUUAUCUCCAAAUACCCUUUCCUGAGAGAUGCAGAGGGAAAUGGAUAUCAUACCUGGCACAUGUCCCUGAAAAGAAAAUUUAAAACUGAAAGGUCCCCACUUGUUAACGAAGAGGAGGUAAAAAAGAUUAAAAUGAAAUAUGGUCACAAUGUAAAGAAACCUGGAGAAAAAGAGGCUAGUUGUCAGAGAACCAGCAGAUCUGUGGUAAGCAAUGUCUAGCAGUGAUACAUCACAAUAUAAAACACUAAACUACAGCUUUAAACUGUAGUCUUUCAUCAAAGGAAUAAUUCACUCAGAUUAUAUAUGACUAAAUCUUGAAACCUGUAAUCUUGUCAUUACAUGUGUUUUGCAUUAUAG